rnacentral:lncRNA from 1 species
AUUAGUAUUCGUGAUGUCACAACGCGAAGCACAUGUUUACCCAAAAAGGUUAAGAAUUGAGCAAGUUAUGGAGUCACCAUUACUAAGGUAAGACUAAGGGUCAAACCCGUAUAUAGUUCCAAUCAUCAAGUUUCAUGCACUAUACCAAUGCCCCAUAGUUCUUUGACUAAAUAAUAUCAAACAUUGUAAACAUUAACAUCAAAUCAACAAAUUCAACCAUGCAAAUAAUCAAUCCAUCAAGGUUUCAUGCAUCUUGAUCAAGCAGCACACUCUCUUGCCUAAUACCACAUGUUCGAAACCCGGUGGGGAUCCCAUCCAUCUGGCCAAAUGUUUUACUUUUUUGGACUUGAUCAUUGAGAUAUUCCUUAAAGCUAGGGCUCCUCGAAAUGCCACUCUUUGUGUUUAUCGAAGGUAAGACAAAGGAUCAAGAUUCUUAAAAUCCCAUCUUGACAUUUAUUUAAAAAUAAAUAUUAGAAUCAUUGCCACAAAUUAUCAAACAACACAGAUCAAAAGUAUGUAACAAACAAAUAUGAAAGGUUCACCAUAAUUAUGCUAUGUUUUUAUCAUUUUAUUUAGCUAAAAAAGGCAUUU